ensembl:miRNA cin-mir-4017-1 cin-mir-4017-1
UGUGCUGUAUAUGCACUUCUAUGUAUUUAAUUUUAUAAGUGCAUGUAUGGUGCUA